ACAUGUACUCUACUAGCAGAACAUGUACAUGAAUGUACAUUUUACACAUAGGCAUUCAUUGUACAAUACUUCCAUGUCUUUUGCAAACACUUACAAACUUGCAUUCAUACAUGUACAAUGUGUACAGGUGUACUCCACCACAGCACUGCCAUGUAUAGCAUAUUGCAAAUGUAUUUACAUGCACCUCAAUUGUAUGAACUCAUUGCGUCUGUAUUGCAUUGUCUUCGUAUCUUAUCCAUAAUCCCUGAUGCAUCACUAUCAAGGUUUUGGAGGAUAUUGCAGUAUUGAGGUUUGUAGAGUCCAACCACAUGUCCACGUACAUGUAUGUGUACAUGUACAUACAUGUAGAUGUUACAUUGUCAUGGGGAUUGGCUCCACUGGAAGGAAUAAAGAGCGUUACAUUUACAGAGAAUGUGCCAUUGGUUUCCUGGUGUGGGUUUUAGGUAUAGGAAGGGUCAAAUCAAAAUUGCUCAGGGAGGCAUACAUGUAUGUUGUAAUUUCAGAUGAAUAUACAUGUAGUUGUACUCUGUGUUUAUUGUCUUUCUCAACAGCCUCAUUACUGCGCUACAAUGCCUUGUCCGGUGCGUAUCUACUCUGUCUUCUGGUGCUACCCCUCAUGCCCAAUCCCAGCCGAAGGAACAUGUCUGGGAGGACUGGGAUAUACCUCAUCAUCCUUCUCAUCUUGUCUGCCCUUGCCUGCCUCACCCAGGCCGUAUUCCAGAUUGUCCUUGCCGCUGACUCACCGUACGGCCACGACUGGGAACCAUGUAACGGAACUGAGCCAAUUUGGAGACAGCUUGGUUAUCAGGGGU